AAACAAGAGAAUCACCUAACAACACCAGUAUGGGAAUUUUGUGGGACGCAGCUGAGAAGCACCGAAACCUCCCAGAUACCCUCUCUCCCCACUGGUCCACAAAAGAGAUUGGACCAUAGCACAUUGAGAAUGCUAUAUAUAAAACCUAUGAACCAGAGAGAAACACUUAUACAACAUGAUGAAGGAAUAAUAUGAAUAAAGAUGCACUAUAAAAAAAAAUGUCACCGUAACUACCAUGUUUACUCUAAAAGAAUGACAAUUAAAACUUAAAAUUUGUUUCCAUUUCUAGGAAUUAUAAAGUUUAUUCAUAUUUCACCUGCUGGAUAGCAGCUUCAUAUUCUUGUCUGAUUUCUCCAGGACAGGAAAUUUGUCGUCUUUCCUCUGAAACAAAAUGGGAGCUUUUCAAUAAUUUUGUUCAGCUCUGAAACAAAUGGGAGCUUUUCAAUAUUUUUUUAUCAUUACUCAAGGUUAAAGCCAUUGUCUUUGCAUGAAUCUACCUUUAGUCUGGUCUGUUUCAUUCUAAAGGUGGUUAGAAUCACAGUAAUGAUAUUUUUCUGAUCAUUGUCGAAAAAAAAAAAAAGGCUGGCUAAGACUGUACAUCUAUUUAAAGGGCUUGCAAAACUUUUUCUGCAGGGAACAGUUCCAGGAAAAAGAAGGAGAGGCAGAUAAAAGAUGCAAUGGGGGACAACAUUAUGAACUGUACAGCCCUGUCUAUGGAAAAGCUGCUUAUUCUGGCAAAAGAAAGUAAUGGAGAGAAUUGACCAACAGUUCAUGGAUGCCCUAAAAAGACUGAAGGAUUACUGAAGAGAUGCCUACCCCCAAGACCCAGAAUGUGGAACACUCAGGUUGAAAAUGUGGAACUUUGGGGCCCAAUGUGGAACAUACACUCGGUUACGUUUGUCAGCCAUACUGUACGCAAUAAAGAAAAGUCUUGAUUUUUGUGAUCCAUGUCAUUGCCUUAUUAUUUCUCAGGAUCCUAUGCUUGAAUUAGAUUUAAAAAAAAACUAAAUGUAGUUUUUGUAUCUAUCAUGCAAAAAGCUUGCUUUGUUUACCUUUAAAAGGAAUUCUUGGUUCACCAGGUGUCUAUGUCAUUAUUUUUGAAGAGUCACAUUGUGUAGUAGCAAUCACCGGAGCAAUCUAAAGCAUAUUUAAUUAUAAAUAGAACACAGCAUUGGAAAAGAAAAUUGGACAAGAUUUGUAAUAGAGCAAAAACAUGUUGAGAGACUAUUAUGGCAGUUGUGAAAUGGGGGAGGGAAGAAGAGUGAAUGAUGAAUGUUUACAUAUUUUACAAAGUGAAAAUGAACCUCCUGCAAAGCUAAAUUUACCUUUUUCAAAGUCUCCACAUAUUUGACUUUCUGGCAAUGGUUUUGAUGACCCAUGUUUUUAAUGGCUUCUUUGGUCAAUCUUUCCAUUUGCUCACUUGUAUAUUUGUCUCUUUCUGAUGAUUAAAAAAAAUAAAUAAAUAUCACUUUUCAGUUGUUUUUCUAGUAGAUAUCUAAAUGUAUUUUUAAAGACUAAUCUUAAUGACACGAGUAAGUAUUGUUACAUGUUGCACUGAAAUAUGCUCAUCUAUUAGAUUUGUAUUAGAUUCUUUGUUGUAACACA